UUAAAUGGCUCCCUGCUUAGCAUGUUAACUUUUGUGGAUACCAUUCUUAGAUAUCUAUCAUCUCUGUUGAUUGUAUACUCUGAAGAGUAUUAGUGCAUGUUUCAUUGGGGUUACUAGAGCCUGAGAGCCCUAUUAGUCCCACUUGUUAAAAGGAAGAAGUUUAAAGCAGUUGGGAGAAGAAGACCUAGUAGAGAAAUGGUUUGGAAUUCCCUUUGUAUGGAAGGGCCCUGACAGGAGCCAGGCAGAGGGAGAAGGGUGGGAAAGCUACAGGAGUGGAAUUAAUUUCUGUGGUGGGCCUUGAAAAAGGAACAAGAGUCCAGAGACAGCACUUUGUGGGUCAGUCUUCUGUAGGAGAGCAGAGAACGUGGGAGAACCUAAGAUGGGUGGAAGUUGCUUAGUUUAUAUUUUUAUCUGGUGUCUGAGUUUUGCUAAGGGAGUCUAGGGAGAAGCGCUGGGGAGCUACUGCUCUGAAAGAAGUGUGAGAUUGAAGACCAGGAGAGGUCAAUGAUAUUGUGCUGACUACCAUUAUUUUGUCAGACAUUAUUUGUUUGUGACAUUGAAACUCCCAUAAAGGGUGGAACUAUAGUGUGACAUGGCUUGAAGGCCACAUCAUCAGCAGAUCACAGAACUCUUGAGAAAGACAGCAAGGCAGAGUUGUUGAAACAUGCGACAAAGGGGUACUCAAGGAUGGCCCUGCUGCCAUGCCAGGGGAGGCCCUGGACCAGAGGAAACUUGACCUGGAGGAAGGACUGGGGCUACUAGGACUGCCAGCAGCCGAGUACCCGGAGGGACUGGAGGAGCCUGAGGUGGAGGGGGAACUGGAGCUGCCAGCAGCCGAGUACCAGGAGGAACAGGAGUAGCCUGAGCCAGAGGGGGAACUGGAGCUGCCAGCAGCUGACUGCCUGGACGAACUGGAGCGACCAGAGGGACUCGUACAAGCAACCGGGUAGGAAGUAGCCCAGGGAUAGAACUGCACUGUGCAUGCAAGUGCUGAACACAGUGGAUUCUGCUCUUCACUUCUCUUAUUAAGGAGAAACACAGAACUGAGAUCACAGGACUUGGCAAGCAAACAAAAGAGGAUCAUAUUUUGAAAUACAGGCCUAAAUGGAGCUUUGAAGCCACAACCCUCUUUAGGGACACAUAGGCCAUACAACAGUGAGCCUCCCCAAGGGCAUUCUGGCUGACUCUACUAGAAUUUCACCAGAAGUUCUGGACUUGUGCACUACCACUCUUUUUACAUUGUGCAGCAUAUGUGCUCCUCUGCACUGGCCCAGCUCCCUUGCUCAAUGGGGAGGAACAGUGGUGCUUUUCCACUUGGACACUCUAGUGCUGGCAACAGUGCUAGACAAACAAUCAGGGAGUGUAGUUGCAGCAGUUGUGCCUGGCCCCAAGCAGUGGAUCAUUGAGCCAUCUUGCAUUCCUGCAGAUGUAGUCUGGCCCCCACAGCAUUCUGUUUUAAAAUGUAAAUGUGUUUGUAGUGUAAGUUUACAUGUAUGUUCCCUCAGUGAGUUGGGAUCUAAACUAGUUGUUCUUCUUCUUGCUUUAAUUUUUUAUGAUUAAAUAAAAGCUUAUUGUUCACCUUUUAAGAAUUAAACCACCUGAAGCUUCCAUCUAUAAUUGCAUGAUCUUGAAAUGUGUUAAACAACCACUAAGUAUAUUGUUUGUACUUUGGAGACCUUUUUAAACGUCCUUAGCGUGCUCUAAAAUCAUAAUUCAUUUCAAAGUUCUGGUUUUGAACUGUUAAAUUAUUAGCUAGAACACAAUUUAAGUAUUCCCUGAAUGGAGCUGGCAGUCUUUUAAAAGGAACUGUUUCUCCGUGGGAUUGAUAGCUAUUAAUUCUAACAUUAAAGCUUCCAAAUUUGAGACUAAUAAUGAAUUUAAUAUUGGUUUAAACUUCUAAAGACCUUCUGUAACUUUUGCCUGUGUGGGAGUAGGAGGAGGGAAAGUUGGCCAGAGUAAUAAAAAGCAUGACAUGCAA